rnacentral:rRNA from 1 species
UACGGAGGGUGCGAGCGUUGUCCGGAAUCACUGGGCGUAAAGGGCGCGUAGGCGGCGCGGAUAGUCGGCGGUGAAAGCCCGGAGCUCAACUCCGGGUCGGCCGUCGAUACUUCCGGGCUUGAGCACUGUAGAGGCAGAUGGAAUUCCGGGUGUAGCGGUGGAAUGCGUAGAGAUCCGGAAGAACACCGGUGGCGAAGGCGGUCUGCUGGGCCAAGACUGACGCUGAGGCGCGACAGCGUGGGGAGCAAACAGG